rnacentral:rRNA from 1 species
CCUACGGGUGGCAGCAGUGAGGAAUAUUGGUCAAUGGUCGCGAGACUGAACCAGCCAAGCCGCGUGAAGGAUGACGGUACAGCGUGUCGUAAACCUCUUUUGUCAAGGAAUAAAGUGAGGCACGUGUGCCUUUUUGUAUGUACUUUAUGAAAAAGGAUCGGCUAACUCCGUGCCAGCAGCCGCGGUAAUACGGAGGAUUCAAGCGUUAUCCGGAUUUAUUGGGUUUAAAGGGUGCGUAGGCGGUCGUUUAAGUUAGAGGUUAAAUCCCGGGGAUCAACUUCGGAACUACCGUUGAUACUGGCAGGCUAGAGUGGAGUAGAGGUAGGCGGAAUGUGUGGUGUAGCGGUGAAAUGCUUAGAGAUCGUACAGAACACCGAUUGCGAAGGCAGCAUACC